rnacentral:rRNA from 1 species
GACGAACGCUGGCGGCGUGCCUAAUACAUGCAAGUAGAACGCUGAAGGAGGAGCUUGCUCUUCUGGAUGAGUUGCGAACGGGUGAGUAACGCGUAGGUAACCUGCCUGGUAGCGGGGGAUAACUAUUGGAAACGAUAGCUAAUACCGCAUAACAGUAGAUGUUGCAUGACAUUUGCUUAAAAGGUGCAAUUGCAUCACUACCAGAUGGACCUGCGUUGUAUUAGCUAGUUGGUGGGGUAACGGCUCACCAAGGCGACGAUACAUAGCCGACCUGAGAGGGUGAGCGGCCGCACUGGGACGGAGACCCGGCCCAGACGCCUACGGGAGGCAGCAGUAGGGAAUCUUCGGCAAUGGGCGGAAGGCUGACCGAGAAACGCCGCGGGAGGGAAGAAGGGUGUCGGAUCGUAAAGCUCUGUUGUAAGGGAAGAACGAGUGUGAGAGUGGAAAGUUCACACUGUGACGGUAUCUUACCAGAAAGGGACGGCUAACUACGUG